UACGUAGGGGGCAAGCGUUGUCCGGAUUUAUUGGGCGUAAAGAGCGUGUAGGCGGUUUGGUAGGUCCGCUGUGAAAACUCGAGGCUCAACCUCGAGACGCCGGUGGAAACCAUCUAGCUAGAGUCCGGAAGAGGAGAGUGGAAUUCCUGGUGUAGCGGUGAAAUGCGCAGAUAUCAGGAAGAACACCCGUGGCGAAGGCGGCUCUCUGGUACGUGACUGACGCUGAGACGCGAAAGCGUGGGGAGCGAACAGG
rnacentral:rRNA from 1 species